rnacentral:snoRNA from 1 species
AACUCCUAGUUUCCUUAGUCCUCCAUUCUAAAUAUGGGUCUGAGGGACUAUAAAUGGAGGAAAAGUCGACCUGAAGUGGACUUGGAGUCUUAAAUAACACACAGUUUAUUUCACACUAAG